rnacentral:rRNA from 1 species
UACGUAGGGGGCAAGCGUUGUUCGGAUUUACUGGGCGUAAAGGGCGCGUAGGCGGCGCGUAAAGUCGGACAUGAAAUCAUUGGGCUUAACCUGAUGGCUGUGCCCGAUACUUACGUGCUUGGAGUGCGGGAGAGGCAAUCGGAAUUCUCGGUGUAGCGGUGAAAUGCGUAGAUAUCGAGAGGAACUCCGGUGACGAAGGUGGGUUGCUGGACCGACACUGACGCUGAGGCGCGAAAGCUAGGGGAGUAAACGGG